UUUUUUUCUUUUUUUUUUUGUUGUUUAAUUGAAUGUGGGUUUUGUUUUUUUGAGUUUUGUUGGAACGAUCUUGGUGUUACAGGCUUUAAUUUUGCCUUUGCAUAUUCGGAUCCCAGAUGAAAAUCAGUCUUUAGUUAUUACUUUCUGCUCUGUGGGGGUUCUGUAUUGUUUGUUUGUUAAGAAAUUUCAGGGCUUUUUCAAUGAAUGUGUUUCUCUUUCGAUGGGUGACAAAAUUUUUGAGUUUUUGAUUUUCGGUGAUCCUUCUCAGAUCAGAGAUUUAUUGUUUUUGUUAUUUUUGGUUAUGUUUAUAUAUUUGGUAGAAAAUUAUUUGGGUAGGUUUUUUUUUGUUGCAUGUUAUUGGGAAGAGUUUUCUUUUAAUUUGGUGAGUAUUUUGUUUUUUUGGCAGGAAUUGUUGAAGAUUUGAUGCUGUUUUGAUCUAAGCGGUCAUUUGCAGCCUCACAUGCAAUUUCAGCUUAGGAAUGUGGAGGUUACUUUUUGUUCAGGAACAGGCAUGAAUUUGAUGAACUUACCUAGGAUGUCAUGCUUAAACACUUAGUUUCUUCCUCGACGAUAAUGACUUUGAAGCUGUGAAGCAGCUUUGUUGUAGCAUUGCCGGUGCCAUUUCUCAUCAUUCAUGCAUCACUUUGAUUUGAAUCCUUCUGUUUUAGGUUGAGAUGGGUGGUUGCAAAGCUCUUAUAACCACAUUCAUUGUUGAACCUUUUGUCCCCCAUGAACAAGAGUAUUACCUUUCGAUAGUCUCUGAAAGGCUUGGUUCAACCAUUAGCUUUUCAGACUGUGGAGGUAUCGAAAUUGAAGAGCAGAGGAUAAGGUUAAGACAAUUUUCCUUCCAUCUGAGAAACCUAUGACCCUCAAGAUGUGCACCAUUGAUAGCUACACUCUCUUUGGAACAAAUGGAACAUAUGCUGCACUUGGUGGUGACCCUAAUUUUGUUGGUAAAAAAGGUCAAAUCAGUGCAAUGUAUGACAUUAAGCCAGCUGGUGGAUCAACCGAUGAGAAUGCUGCUGCGACUGGAAACACAACAGUAGAUGCAUCUAAAGUUGCUAGUUAUAAUUCUUUUUUAAAUGGCAAUGUUGUUAAUGAAGUAGGGAAUGCCACAACAAUUGAGAAUGAAAAUGUUUUUGAUAAUGUGGGUUGAGCUUCUGCUGCACCUGAGUUUGUGGAUGGUUCCGGUAUGUUUUUCUUUGGCAUAUCUGUGACAUGCAUCUGUUAUGAACAGGAAACUUUUUCUUGAUUUCAGUUUAUGUUGAAGAUUGCAUCAUGUAAUAUGAUUUGCAAACUAGCUCAAUAAUGACAAUUUAGAAGAAGAAUUUUGGUUACUGAAUAAACUUCAGCUGCCUGCAUUAUUCUAAACUAAAUAAAACUCUCUUAUUUUCUUGAGGCUGUGUUCAUAUCAUCUAGAAAAAAAAGUGGGCAUAUCAAAUUUUAUAUAGCAUUUUCAUUUUUCUGCUAUUUUACACCAACAACUAACCACCCUAAAGAUAUGCCAUAAUAGCUAAAAGCUCUGAUAGUUGAGCACCAAAUGGCCUUUAUCCACUGGUAAUCUCCCAUGAAGCAUUUUUCCUGAUCAACAUGAUACACGUGUGCCACCUAUCUGGUGAAGAGGAUCAUUUGUGGGGUAUUGUGAGAGGUAAUUCUUAUUGGUUCACUGCCAAAGAUGGCUGGAUGUGGUUGGUCGCUCUUAUUUAAUCUGGCCUGAAAUGUUGCAUGAUUUGUUUUAAAGAUGAUUAUACUAUAUUAAUUAGAAAUUAUGUGGGUCAUUAAGUACUUCCUGCUUCCUCUGUUAGAAACCAACACCCUGCAGGACUUUCAAGUAUGAUGAUUGAUAAAUUUAGGAGGUCUAUGGUGGUGUUAUAAUGAUCUGGUAUUUCUUUCUAGAUUUUUAGUCUUUAUCUAAGUAGAUUGGAUUUGUGAUUGUGACAAGCUGAAAUGGAUGUAUUUUCUCUGUUUGAGGGUUGAUAGGAUGAAAGAGCUGCAUGUGCUAGGUACAUAGAUACCAGACAUUUGCAUUGCAUGAUGAAUUUUUUAGAACCUUUCAAUGAACUUGAUAUUUGUAGCUGCACUUUUUAGGUGAUUAUCUGCUUUGUAAUAUGGUUAAUUCAUGGACGGAUGGAACUUUUUGACUCUUCAUUAAGAAGAGAAUUUGCAAAAAUUAAGUUUUAUUAUUUGCUUUUGCUGGCUAUUAAGAAGAGUUUGUUUUCUUUGAAGUAUGCUCUAAUGGGUGUUACCUCUUCCAUAUAUUUCUAAACUGCUACUGAGAAUUAAAGUAAUGAUGAUUUUUUUAAUUAGAAUAUUUUGUGAUGGGGUGUGGGGAUUGGUUUUGUUCUUUAUUUCUGUACAUUAAAGUCAUCGCAAGAACUAUAUUGGAAGUAUUAGCACGAGUAAAAGAACUAUAACAAGAAUCGUAGUGUAUGAAUAGUCGUAUUGUUAGAAGAAAUUUUCUUCUGCUUACGGUGAAGUUUGUUUAAUAAAAGAGUUGGUGGAGGUUUUAAGGCAAUUGACCCUCACUAUAGCAAAUUUAAACAUAAGAUUUACUUCAAGCUUUAGGUUUCUAUUACAUCGUUAAUUCCCACUUUUGGUUAAAUUUUCUUGAUAGCAUAAAAUUUGGGCUAUACAUCGUUAAUUCGUUGUUUUGGUUGAGUUUUUAUUUAUUAUAUCCUCCAAUACUAUUUAAAAACCUUUAAAAUAAUAAAUUUGUCAUAAAUAUGAAGUCACAACAAUGUAAACUUAGUAAAAGCUAAAUUGACUUUAUUCUAGCUUUAACAACAACACUACAAAUCUCAAAUCCAAGUACCAAACGUGUUAUGCUUUACAUUAUUUCGAUUAAAAUUUUCUCUUCAAUUUAUAAUUUCCCUUUUAAUUUUGCAUUAGAUUAUUUUCUCCUAUUAUCUUACAAUUUUUUUAAUAUAAAAGUCAGAUUGGUUUUAUAAAAGAUUAGAAAACUAAACUUAUGAUUUCAAAUUUUCAACUUCAAAUUUUUUAAAGGUAUAUUUUAUUUUUCUUGUUUAGAUAAAGAUAUAUUAUUUAAUGAUAAAAUUAUUUGUACUUUUUAUUUCAAAUUUAAAUUAUCAAAAGAAUCAAAGAAAUUUCACCCAUAAUUCAUUGAAACAUAGUGAAAAUCAUGUGUAGAUAUCCAAUUUAGAUCAGGCUCAUAUUAUUGGGCUUGGUCCAAAUGAGUAGGCUCGUUUUAUUUUUUAUUUUGGUAUUUUUGUUUUUUGUAUCUUAGUUACUUA